AGUACUAUGGGCUACAAGACAGUGCCAUUGCCUCUGUCGUGCACCAGCUCACUGCAGACCUGGCACCGGCCAUGGACACAGGGAAUUGCACCAGAGGCUACAAAUGAUAUGGCGGUGUGUAAACCAGUGGCAAGGACAAAAAAUAGCGUCAGGACUGGUGUGAAGUGCACACUGUACAGAGCAUAUGGCGGUCCUCUUCCAGGUCAUCACGUCAUGGCGAGCGGGGAGAAACUGAAAGGCGUACGGUUACAACUUUAAAUAUCCACUAGAUUUUGAGCAAAACUACAAGCAACAUUGCCACUAAAGGUAUCACACGAGAUCUGUGCUGCUACUGAAGCUGAAACCCGGCAGCAAUCAGAAUGCCAGCUGUGGACCCAGGUAUGCAAACCCCGACUUAUAAUCAGCAGAUUCCGUGAAAUAUGCCACGUGCGCGGCGACUCUUCCGCCAAAGCCUUGGCAGCCCGGAUUCUGAGAGGAACUCCCCAGACAGGCGCUAUGAAGA